rnacentral:rRNA from 1 species
UACGGAGGGGGCAAGCGUUGUCCGGAAUCAUUGGGCGUAAAGAGCGUGUAGGCGGCCCGGUAAGUCCGCUGUGAAAGUCCAGGGCUCAACCCUGGGAUGCCGGUGGAUACUGUCGGGCUCGAGUCCGGAAGAGGAGUGUGGAAUUCCUGGUGUAGCGGUGAAAUGCGCAGAUAUCAGGAGGAACACCAAUGGCGAAGGCAGCACUCUGGGACGUGACUGACGCUGAGACGCGAAAGCGUGGGGAGCAAACAGG